rnacentral:rRNA from 1 species
AGCCAUGCCGCGUGUAUGAAGAAGGCCUUCGGGUUGUAAAGUACUUUCAGUUGUGAGGAAGGUUUCGUAGUUAAUACCUGCGUUGCUUGACGUUAGCAACAGAAGAAGCACCGGCUAACUCCGUGCCAGCAGCCGCGGUAAUACGGAGGGUGCGAGCGUUAAUCGGAAUUACUGGGCGUAAAGCGCAUGCAGGUGGUUUGUUAAGUCAGAUGUGAAAGCCCGGGGCUCAACCUCGGAAGGUCAUUUGAAACUGGCAAACUAGAGUACUGUAGAGGGGGGUAGAAUUUCAGGUGUAGCGGUGAAAUGCGUAGAGAUCUGAAGGAAUACCAGUGGCGAAGGCGGCCCCCUGGACAGAUACUGACACUCAGAUGCGAAAGCGUGGGGAGCAAACAGGAUUAGAUACCCUGGUAGUCCACGCCGUAAACGAUGUCUACUUGGAGGUUGUGGCCUUGAGCCGUGGCUUUCGGAGCUAACGCGUUAAGUAGACCGCCUGGGGAGUACGGUCGCAAGAUUAAAACUCAAAUGAAUUGACGGGGGCCC